GACAGCCCAAGGAUGCGACAUUAAAAUAUCAUCAAGGUGAUGGAUGCCCGUACCACACAGAACAUUAAAAGGGAAUGCAAAAAAAACAGACACUCAAAUCAGGAUACGUGGUAAUGACUCGCGAGCACGUGACGCCCUUAUCUUUGUGAAGGAGGAGACUAAUUAGAAGUUGUCUGAUGCCACCGGUUGACCUCUAUACUUCUCGACACUGAUUUAGAGACAACACACACACUCGGAAGAGGAAGCCGAGGAGAAGUUCAAGGUGGAAAGUUUUCUUUGCUGUCUGGAUCUUGGAGGGGGAGGAGCCUCAGCAGAGCGCGCACCAAUACUGAUGGCUGAACACUGAUCCCGGGGCAGGUGGGAUUUGUCACCACCAGUCAGGAUUUGCCAUGGCAGUUGCGGAACAGAAUAAAGAUAGACUGUGUCCAAUGCCACCUGAAAGUGAGGCUGUGAGUCACCAGCUACAUCCAUCAAACCCUGACCUGCUGACUACACCAUGCAGGAUCAAACUAAUCCUGUGCAAACUC